rnacentral:lncRNA from 1 species
GUCAUUGGUCUAGAAUUUUUAAAUUUUUGUGGUGGGUGUUUCGCAUGACUAAAGCAAACCUCUUACUCAUAGGGCAAUGACUGAAAAGCACUCACUUGGCACCACCCAAUUGGUGUGCGUCCUUUGACUCAAAUACUUGCCCAGUCACCUUCCAGCUAUUGUGCGUCACAUAGCAUACUUUAACCGAAAAUAAACCACCUUUGUGCCAAGAAUUCAACCAACAGGUAGCCAAUCAAUUGUGUCAUUGAGGUCAUUUGUCAAAUUCUUCGUGUCACAUCAUCACCUCAUCUAACAUUCCGCGAUAACUUUUCAAUGAAUCAAUCUAAAUCAAUCACCGAUGUUGUUUACACCGCUGCUCACAAUGGUGAUCUGGAUAACCAAACGGUGACAUUGGAAAAAUCGAAGCCUUUUCCAGAAAUUAAGGACAAAAUAUUUGGCUACUAUGUCACCAAACUUGAUAAUGAAGGUAAAGAAGCUGGAGCGGUCCCGUCCGAUGUUAAGACACGGGAAGUGAGAACGGCCAGCAUGAAUAGCGUUGUCAGAAAACUGACGUGUUGCUUCAGCAGAAACGACGAUUAGAACCAUUUAAGAACAAAACAAUCACUAAUAAGGAACCAUUUUUUCAAUACACCAAUUAUUUUAGA